UAUAUAUAUUCUUCAUAAAUAUUUUUGAUGCUGGUUAUCCAGGGAGCAUCUUGUGCUGUCACUGCUUUUGUACGAAAUAUUAAAAUAUUGUCUACUGUGUAAGGCAGAUCAGUUUCUAAUCAUGCAACGGCCAUUUUGUUUCUAAGAGUAUGAGUGUCUGGAAGCAUGCAUAUCUUGUACUCUUUCCCCUCUGCAGCAUCCAUUGUCUCAUGCAUACCUCUAAGUUCAAAAGUGAAAGAUAUAAUAAAGCUAUGUAGAGACAUAUCAGAAGUUGCAGUGAAUUUAGCUGAAGAAGAA